rnacentral:sRNA from 1 species
AUGGGAUGGCAGCGAGCUCAAGCCUCAAGAUCUAACAAUAUUUCAUUGGUGGAUGAAGGUUCAACAAUGGUGAAGAGGAACUGUAAGUAGAAAUUUUUUUUAUGAAAACCCAUUUCAGUUUGUACCAGUCCGGAACGAAGAUACUGCUCGAAAAGCACCGGAAUCCGCCGAAAUGGCCGAAACAAGCCGAAACACACCGGUAUUUAAGACGGUACGAAUCAACCCAAUUUUUGUACCGGUCCAAGCACCGGCACGAAAAAUUCCGGCCGUACCGGCCGGUACGGUACGGAAUUAACUUCCUUGGGCAUUACACCUGUUAUAUUCAUAGCAUUACACCAACUUUCUAUACUUUUGUACUCUUGCUUUUGAGAAUUAAUAAUAACAUUCUAUCUUUUAUAAAUACUAAUAAAUUAAUGUAAUGGUUCAAUGGAUAAUUUAUUAAAACCAUUCAACUUUUUUAUUUAAAAUAUUAGUUUUCAAAAUCGCUGCAGUUAGUAUAUUAUUGACAUCAUCUUAUCUUAUUCUAAUCAUAUUAAGCUGAUGAAUUUUGUAAAAUUUUAAUCCAAUUCUUAUUUUUUUUCUAUAUAGAAGGUUUAAUCAAGGUUUUUUUUCUUUUUUCUUUUUUUUCUUUUUAUUUUAAGAAUGAGGUUUAAUCAAGUUAAUCUUUUUUUUUUUUUUUUGAGAAAAUAAUCAAGUUAAUCUAACUAAACGUCUUUAUAGAAAAAUCUGCCUAACAUUAAUAGUCAAAUUAAGUUCAAGCAUAAUAAGGAUUGAAACUCUUUAUCUUUUCGAGAAGUCCCACCUAAACCAUAGUCCAAACAGAAUAAGGAUUGAAACUCUUAUCCUUCCGAGAAUAAGGAUUGAAAACUAGCGGAAAUAUCAGCAGCUGUAUCUCGACCGCACCUCACGUCCUUUAUCUUCUCUUUUCCAAUAAAUUCAAAUUGGAGACCUAGACGACUUAGAAGUGCAUUGCCAAAUAAGUUGAAUAACAACUACAGAAGUAUCGUUGAACACUACAAAAGCAGGCCUAGGCCUAUGCCGAACAAAUUUGCAUUAAAUUAUCUUCUGAAAAUCGAUUAAAGGUUUCAGCCUUCUCCUCCUAUUUGUCUUUCCUCCUUAUAUAUAUGUUACUGCUCGCAAAUACUGACUUGUAUUUAUUAAUCCAGAUUAAUCUCAGCUUUUUCUAAAUCAUCCACACAACACUGCAGGUAUCUCCCUCUUCCAGUACUCUCGCUCUCUCUGUUUGUGAUUUAGAUUAAUUUACUGACUGGUUGAUUGUGAAUAAAACUAAAACCGUGUGUAUAGUGUAUACGAAACCAAAAAAUAUAUUGUCUAUAUGUUUCUGUUAUUUUAUAUGAUAUGAUCAUAUGAGGAAGUCUGCCAUCUGUUGUUUUCAAUAAAGCUGGGUAGUAUAUUUUUUUAACCGAAAAUAUACUUUCUGGCUUACAGCAGCUUGCACUUUGACUCUUUGAUGAGUAAUUUAUAUGAAAAUCAUAUUCUAAGAGAUAAAGUAUUUAAGAUUCAAAGGUUAUAUUUAGAAGUUUAACUUUUUAGAAAGACUUAUAAGGAUGUUGAACCUAGCUACAAUUUUUAUUUUCUACAAAGAAAAAUACAAAAUAAUUCAAAAACAGUCAUUUUGCGCCUUUUCUUUUGUUUGUUUAUGCAUAUGGAGGACCUGUUUAUGCAUAUGGAGGACCUGGUUUCACUUAAGGCUCGAUCUGAGUCUGUUUGAGAUGUUCAAUGAUUUCUGCAAUUUUACUAUUUUGUACCAUCCUUCUCUUUUGCCUUUUUUUUUCUUUUUUUUUCUUUUUUUUUCCUAUUUAUAUAUAUUUAUAUAUUUUUCCAGAGUCAGAGAGAAAGACAGGACCUGGUGUUAUUGCCAUGGACCCCAAGUUGAUUGAUGAAAGUCAUGAAACAGCUGCCUCCAAAAUUCCGGAGGCCUUAGAAACUGUUAGCUCCUUAAAUGGAGUGACAAUUCAAGGUACUAGCUACCAUUGUUGAUAAGAACUUGUUCCUUUUGUUUUUGCUUUUGUUUCUGCUUUUGUUUUGUUUUUUUUUUUUUUGUUUUUUGGCACAAAGGGAGCUAAAACAGUUUCAACAUGCCGAGAGGACAAGGGUUAGGCAGGUAAAACAAUUUCAACAUGCUGGGAAGACAAGGGUUAGGCAAUUGCGGAAACAAGAAGUAUGUACUGAGGUAACAUGCCCAAACCCACUGCAUCCCGUUUAGUCCCCUCAAUUAUGCAUAUACAAAUACUCUUUCUUUUUUCUUUUAGAACUUGAGAACAAGGCAACACCUGUUGCUGGAGUUAUAGACCCUACCUCAUUAGAAGUAGGUCUAGGUUUUAAAGGAUUGACUACAGUUAAUUUUAAAGCUUUCAUGGAAAGUUUCGAACAUAGAAACUAUGACGCUAAACCUUUCCUAAGUUUUGGGAGUCAAAUGAACUCCUAGUUGAUUUUUGGGGGUUUAGUAUUCCCAAUGUGUAUGGAUAACUUUGCAUUGAGCGUGCUAUGCAAGGUAUUAAGGGAUAUGAUUUAUUCUAAACUUGAUUUCAUUAGUGAGACUAAGCUUUUGGAGUGGGGAAAUGUGGUGAAAGAUUUGAUGAAAUCGGGCUUAGGCCUAGGCUUCCUUCUCGAUCGUUUACCUGAUUUGAUGAAAUCUUCUCGAUCCUUUAGGUAAAUGAUCGAGAAGGAAGCCUAGGCCUAAGCCCGAUUUCAUCAAAUCUUUCACCACAUUUCCCCACCCCAGAUGCUUAGUCUCAUUAAUGAAAUCAAGUUCAAAAUAUUUCAUAUCUAUUAAUACUGUUAGGUUCUAAAGAUUUAAGAAUUUAUAUAUUUAGAACUCUAAUGUGUAUCGUUGGCAAACCAUGAUCAAAACAGGUUGUUUAGUCUUGUUUAGGCUUGCUCAAAGUUGUGUUUUUAUGUAUAGUUGGAAUCGAGUGGCUGCAGAAGUAUUAGUUACUUUCGGUCUAGCUCGAUCGAUCAAAAAUUAAACUCGAUCGAUUGAAAGUCGGCUAGAACGUUUUUCUGCAGAAUUUCCAACUCAGCCCAAGCCCAUUAAGGAUUAGGGUUUCAGAUCUACUUCUCUCACUAUAUAAAGGAAACCCUAAGCCACGUUUUUGAGAACUUUUAGAGAGAGAGAAGAGAGUGCAUCUUUUGUAUCUAGGGUUUUAUACCCAAACCUCUCUAAGUCUUUGUUGCUCAUAUUUGCUAUUUAUGGGAAUCUCUUGUGAGAUCUUUGAGGAGCUUUCCUUCAUAUAGACUUAAGGUUUUCAAGGUAGAGAUUACUUAAACAUCUUGAUGAUCAACUCAGUUGCUACCAUUGAAACUUAAAAAAUAUCAAGCGUGGGUGCUUGUAGCUGAUUGGAGAAUCCAAGAAAGAAGGAGUCCGUGGAUUCGGAGCUUGCACGUGGUCGUGUUAAUAAGUUCUACUAGUGGGUAGUAUAAGGAAGUCAAGCGGGGAGCUUGUAAGUCCUUGUGUAUGAACUUCGAUUCUUUCAUAGUGGAUUCAAGUUUACCUUGAGGAUAGCUAGGUCAAAUUCUCCCCAGGUUUUUACCGUGUGGUUUCCUAGGUGAUCAUAUCAUUGUUUCUUUUAUAUUUCCGCUACUUUAUACUUUCGAUAUGAUUGUAUGUUUGUGAUAACCUAGAAUUGCUUAAAUUGACUAAGUUAAUCACUUGGCUAAUUAAGUAGGUUAAUCUUGUUGUUUUAAGGGGUUUAAAUUUUCAACAAGUGGUAUCAGAGCGGGUAGCUCUUCUUGUUGUAGAUCUUUUGAUCUAAGAGUUAAUCCUUGACCCCUGUUGUCAUGGAUAAUUUGAAGUGUCUUUCUUGUUAGGUUCUAAAGAUUUAGGAAUUUAUGUAUUUAGAACUCUAAUGUGUAUUGUUGGCAAACCAUGAUCAAACAGGUUGUUAGUCUUGUUUAAACUUGCUUAAAGUGUGGGCAUUUUAUGUAAAGUUGGAAUCGAGUGGCUACAGAAAUAUUAGUGACUUUCGGCCUGGCUCGAUCAAUCAAAAAUUAGACUAAAUUGAUUGAAUCUCAGUCAGAAUUUUUUUUCUACAGAAUUUCCAACUCAGCCUAAGCCCAUUAAGGAUUAGGGUUUCAGAUCUACUUCUCCCACUAUAUAAAGAAAACCCUAAGCCAUGUUUUUUAGAGCUUUUAGAGAGAGAGAAGAGAGUGCCUCUUUUGUAUCUAUCUAAGGUUUUGUACUCAAACCUCUCUAAGUCUUUGUUGCUCAUAUUUGUGGUUUAUGUGAAUCUCUUGAGAGAUCUAGAGGAGCUUCCCUUCACAUAAACUUAGGAUUUUCAAGGCAGAGAUUAUUAUCUACAUCUUGAUGAUCAACAAGGUUGCUGCCAUUGGAGCUUAAAGAAUAACAAGCGUGGAUGCUUGUAGCUGAUUGGAGAAUACAAGAAAGAAGGAGUCCGUGGAUUCGGAGUUUGCACGUGGUCGUGUCAGUAAGUUUUACUAGUGGGUAGCAUUAGGAAGUCAAGCGGGGAGCUUGUAAGUCCUUUUGUAUGAACUUCGAUUCUUUUGCAUAGUGGAUUCAGGUUUACCUUGAGGAUAGCUAGGUCAAAUCCUCCUCAAGUUUUUACUGUAUGGUUUCCUUGGUGAUCAUAUCAUUGUGUCUUUUAUAUUUCUGCUGCUUUAUAUUCUUGAUAUAAUUGUAUGUUUGUGAUAACCUAGAACUGCAUAAUUUGACUAAGUUAAUCACUUGGUUAAUUAACUAGGUUAAUCUAAUUAGUUUAAGUGGUCUAAAUUUCUAACAAGUGGUAUCAGAGCAGGUAGCUCUUCUGUUUUAGAUCUUUUGAUCUAAGAGCUGAUCCUUGACCCUUGUUAUCAUGGAUAAUUUGAAGUGUCUUUCUGCUCAUAUUUUUGCUGAUUUUAUUGAUGCCUGUGAUGUUUUGAAUAAAAAGGAAACUAUUGUUUCUGUUGAUUUUUUUGAUACUUUUGAAACUCUUCGUAAGGAAUUAUCUAAAUCUUUGAAAUUUCUAAGAAAUUCAAGAAAGAGUUAAAAUUGGCUAAUCUUGAAAAAGAGGAUUUGAUUGUGAGAUUAGAUGAGUCUAAUAAAAAGAAUGAAUUUUUGAGAAAUCAAAUUUCCUUUCAAGAUGAGAAGAUGAAAAGUUUGGAAUAAGCGUUAGUUGAGUCUCAAACUAAACUUGAAAAUUUGACUAGUACCAAGCAUGUUGUUGAUAACAGAAGUGUGUCUGUUUCUCUUAAGCCUAAAACUGAGAAAGUUUAUAUCCCUCCUUUUAAGAGGAAUAAUAAAAAUAAAAAAAAAUAAAAAAAAAAGGUUAUUUUGCUAGGUUAGACAAAGGUAAAAGUUCUGAUGUAGAUGCUAAAGUUUCUACACCUAAGUCUAAACCUACUGUUAGAGAGCAUAAUAAAUCUGUUUUUAUGCCUACUUGUCACCUUUGUGGUGUUGUUAGUUAUAUUAGACCAAAUUGUUCUUUGUUGAGGCAAAAACCAAAAUCUGAGAAUAGGUUUGCUAUUAGGAAUACUGAUGUUCCUAAAUUUGUUCCUGUUUGUCACUUUUGUGGUGUCCGUGGUCACAUUCAUCCUAAUUGUCAUAAAUUGAAAUUUAAGCAUUCUGUAUUUCAAUCUAGGAUAUGUGAUGAUAUUUCUCCUGCCAUAAGUCCAAAUAAAUUGUUUCAUAUGCUUUUGAAAAGUUUAACCUUGUUGGCUUGUGAAAGGAAUUUGCAGGAUUUCAGUCUUUCUUAGAAAAUUGAUGUAAUUCCUCAAAUACACUCUGCUUUACCUGGAUUUUCACCUAUAAAGCUGAAUACUCGUGCUAAAUGGGUGAGAAAAGAUUCUCCAAGGUGAGUGUUGCUAACCUGUCCUUGAUUUAAUUCUUUCAAUUAAUUGUGGACAUGUUUUGUUUUAGUUUUUGAUUGUUUUAUUUUCUUUGAUUGUUUUUUUUUUAAAGAAAAAUCCAAAAAUAUUAAAAAUUUUCAAAAAGACAAAAAUAUUUUAUUUUGUGUCUUGUUUUAUUUUUCUUAAGGAUUACAUAAAUUAUAAUAUCUCUCUCUUGAUUUAGAACAUGCUUGACAUUGUGGAGAAACUUGAAUAGUUUGUGCUAAGCUAUUUUUGAUUUUGUGUGAGUAUGUAUUAGUUUGUACAUGUACGCAAGGGUUAAUUAAGAAAUUGAUAUUUCUUGUUUGUGUACCCUCUAUAGCUUAGUUAAGCAUUAUCAUACAUUGCAUUUGCAUUGUUCAUUUAAUAUAAUAUGUGAUUUUUUGUUAUUGGUCAUAUAAUUUUAAAAACCAAAAUGAUUUUUGUGUUUUGUAUUUCAUAUCUUGGAUUUAUAAUCAAGGAUUGGCCAUAUUAUCUUUACAUAACAAGUUUAUGUACCUUGUUUAGCUUUGAUGAACAUAUUUAUUAUACUUUACUAGUUGAAACUUUGUAGUGCAUGUUGUGUGGGAAAGGUGUUUAUGGUGUUUAUCAUUUUGUCUUAAUCUUGAAGUCACAUGUUAUUUGACUGUCGGACUUGAUCCUUUUGAGAAAGGCAUAAAUAACCAUCUCACCACUAUUCACUAGCCAAUCAUGAACACCUUAAUGCAUAUCCUAAGAUUUUGUGCUCGAGAAAGUGUAGCACAUGCACAAAAAGAACAUAAGAUGUAGUCUCGAUUUAAUUGCUAAAUGCUUAAAAUUGGUGUGUACCAUUAGGCUUGAUACCAAAUCACAUUAUCUUGAAGUCACAUGUUAUUUGACUGUCGGACUUGAUCCUUUUGAGAAAGGCAUAAAUAACCAUCUCACCACUAUUCACUAGCCAAUCAUGAACACCUUAAUGCAUAUCCUAAGAUUUUGUGCUCGAGAAAGUGUAGCACAUGCACAAAAAGAACAUAAGAUGUAGUCUCGAUUUAAUUGCUAAAUGCUUAAAAUUGGUGUGUACCAUUAGGCUUGAUACCAAAUCACAUAAUUAAAACUGAUAUGUAUAUUAUGAGGCAAAUUCAAGAAACUUACAUGAUUACAAGCUUAUGUUCUAGGAAAUAUGGGAGUUAUAUAAUGUAACUCUUUAUGUGAUAGUCUCUUUUGAAUUCUAUGUGAUGGAUUUUGUAGACUUUGUAAUUGAUUGCUAUUCACAUAUCACCUCACAUGUAUCUCAAGUUUUUGCUAGUUGCACACACUACACAACUUAUUCUUUACUAAACUUGGUACAUUUUAUUGUGUGUGAUCUUGUUGUGGUCAUCCAAAAUUAAAAGUUCAUUGAUUUUAGUACAAAAUGUGUUUAAUGUUUGCGCUUUAAGAACAAAUUGAUUGAAAAUCUUAAUUUUGGAAGAUCUGGGUUAAAUUCAAGUGUUUUUCAAAAACUUUUCGUCUCAUACUCAUGCAUUUUUUAUAAAACAAUGUGCUUUGAGGAGUUUCUGCAUUAAAAUGCUCUGUUUUUCAAAAAUCUAAUUUUUCCAAACUUUCGAUCGAUCGAACCUGUUUUUCGAUCAAUCGAAAUUGUGAUUAAAAUUUUAGGUUUGAGUCUGCCUGACUCGAUUGAUGUUCAAUCGAUUCUCAAUCGAUCGAAACUGAAAAAUUUUCAGUUUCUAUGUUUUUGACCAAAAAAAUUUUCAUGCAUCAUUUGUCACUACAAGAAAAUGUAUUUUUAGUGACGAAAAAAUUCGUCACUAAAAGUCCAGUUUUUUGUUACUAAGAACCUUUAGUGACGAAAUUGGACUUUUAGUGACGAAAUUCAUUUCGUCACUGUAGCCUCGUCGCUAAAAAUCCUGGCGACGAAAAAUUUCGUCACUAAAAGUCCGAUUUGGUAAAAAAAAAAAAAAAAAAAGACUUUUAGCGACGAAAACGUUUCGUCGCUAAAUGUUUUCCUCGCUAAAAACAGUAUUUAGUGACGAAAAUAUUUCGUCACUAAAACCAUUUCAGUUUAUUAAAUCAUAUUUAGUGACAAAAAAUUUCGUCACUAAAACUAUUUUCGGGUACAUAUAGUGAUGAAAAUAUUCAUCACUAAAACUAUUUUUAAGAAAAUCCAUGCACAUAUAGUGACGAAAAUUUUCGUCAUUAAAACCAUUUCUUACAAAAUUCCACUGCAUUUAGUGAUGAAAUAUUUCGUUGCUAAAACUUAUUUUCUGUUUUUAUUAUUUUCAUGACGUUGAUAUUAACCUGUAACCUGUUAUUACAUUAUUAAAACUUCACAUUUGAUUAACACAUUUAUAAAAAAUCGAUUCAUAGAUUCCACAAGUUAAAAUUAAAACAAGUAUCAAAUUCAAACUCCUUCCAUACAAUAAUUGUUUGUAACACAUACAAUAACUUAAGAUGUUUUAUAACAAUACAAAAAAUGGAGCAUAAUAUAAUUAGAACCCCCUAAAGCCAAAAGAUGUCCUCAUAUGUCUUCAAAUAAUGCCAAAAGUAAAUCCCCUAAAGCCACCAAUAAGAAAUCUGCACAAAUAUAAAAACACUACUACAUUAAAAUCGUGAAGUAAAAACAUUAACUAUGUUAUAAAAAACAUUUCUAACAAUUAGUUUCAAAUGAUACAUAAAAAAUGAAGUGUUUUAAUUUAAAGAUAAAGUACUAACCAAUAAGUGAUUUAACUUGAAGAUGAACCACCCCCAUAGUUAAAACCAUCAUCAUAACCCUUGCUCCUUAAAAAAUUAAGAAUAUUCUUUUGGAUCUCAUCUUGCUUAGCUCGCGCCUCUUGCUCCUUAGCUCGCUCCUCUUCGUCCCUAACUCUUGCCUCUUUGAGCUCAAUUAUCUCAUUUUCUAACCGAUGAAUAUACUCUACCGAGUAACUAGAUGAGGCAGUGGUUACUAGAGAAGAGGAAGGUCUUAUGCCAAGUCCUUUUACCAUACCGGAUUUUUUUAAAAAAACCAAGUUUGAGAUUUCCUCGUGUAAGGGGAAUUGCAUUAGGAUCUUGACAAUGAUCCUCUUGCACUUUGAGAAUAGUUUCCUACCAUUUGAAAGAGGGAAAAAAAAACCAACAAUCACAACAUUAAUACUACAUAUGUAAUAACUUUACAAACAUGAUAAGGAUGGAAUAAUAGGGAUUAAAUGAUACACAUACAUAUGUCGCUUCAUCGUCAUGGUGUAUCCACUUAUUUGUGUUUGGAUUAAAAUGAACAUCUUUGUAGACUUUUGCCAAUUCAGGAACUUGACCACCAUUAUUAUUUGUCUAAUUAAUUAACAUUCGAGUGUUAGUUAUUUAUAGUUAAUUAAUCACAACAUGUAAUAUACUAAGGUUUAAGAAAAUGAAAAAACACACACCUCCUCAUCAACCCUAACAGCAAGUGCCUUUGUCCCGCAUCUAUGUUUGCCUAAAGUUUUACUUCUAUUUUCAGAAUUAAUUCUUGAUUUUUCCUAAUAAAGAACAUUCAAGAUAUUUAUUAGAUCAUAAAUAAAACAAUAUACAUUUACUUCAUCUAAGUAUUAAUCUAAUUAUUUGACAACAUAAAAUAGUAAAUAUUGAAUAAUAAUAAUAUACGCAUUAAUAAUUUACCAGCCAAUCCUUAUUGGUCCCUCUCCCUUCAAUGAGUCCAGUCCAUUGCUCAAGUGUGACAUUCUUUGCCGGGUGGCUUUUUGCAUAGUCUUCACCAUGAGAUUGUACAAGCUUUUUAUAAAUCUGAUACAACUUGUUAGAGCCGCUACUCAAUAAUCUUCCACAUUUUGUAUUUACUGUUUUCGUUACUAAGUUAGAAUCUCCUUCAAGCUCAAACUGAUCCUGUAAAAUGAAGUAUAUAUGUAUUAUAAAAAUAUUAUUAUAUGAAUUAAUAUACUUAGUGAUAACAAAGACGAGUUAGACGUUAUUAAUAUAAAUUUACAGCAAUAUUUUGAAGCACCACAUCUCUAGUAGCAGCAUCAACACUUUUCCAAUUUUUUACGUUGUAACUGGACAAAUUACGUGGCACUUGUACGCCAAUUUGAUUGACAAGCUUGCACGCAUUCUUCCCAACAGGAGCAUCAUACUCUGCAACUAUACGUACUGGUAAUUUUCCACUUUUUUCAACAAGUGCCCGUACUGCUAUACCACAUGUUGUUCCACGGGUAUUUCUGCUAGCAGAUCCUAUUUAAAAAUUAUCAAUGUUAUAAAAUUAUACAUUAUAUGUACAUUAAGUAUAAUCUCAAUAGUAAAGACAAGGUGCAGUUGCAAUUAAGUAUGUUAUAUUUAAUUACCAGUCGUGCUAGUUAAUGCGUCGGUAGCCUCCGCACUCGAAGAACUUUGGGUAGGAGGAUUUGCUUCAAGAGGUGUUUCCGUAGAUUGAACCAUAGAUUGGACUACCGGGAUAGAUGCCUCACCUCGCGAGCGUGUAAGUCCUCUUGAUAAGUGAAGCUUUACCUGCAUGCAACACAUAGAUAAGUGAAGCUUUACCUCUUGAUGGAGACAAUGUAAGAAUUUCAAUAAAAAAGAUGACUCUCAAUCUAGAAUACCAUAGAUUUACAUAAUAAAUAAUAAGUAGAUAAUUGACAUAAAGUCAUUAGAAUUAGGUAAAUUACAACUAGCAUUGAAAAAAAGAAGAAAACACAAUGUUAUAGUAACUAAAGGUGUUAAACUACCCUACCAAGAAGUUCUACAAAUAUAAACACACAAGGAAAUCAAUCUAAAUUUUUCCUUUUAGAGCAUAUAAUCAUGUUUAACUAUUAGAUAUCCCCCUAAAAAAAUUUGCUAAACACAUGACAACUACUCCAAUAUUCUUUACACCACAUCUCCAUCCUAAUAAGUAUGCUCAUACAUCAAUGAAAACAACCCUAAAAACAAAAAGUUCCAUAGAAUCCAUCAUUUCUAUAACUAUACAAAUGAAUCACGGCUUUCCACAAAAAAAAAAAAAAAAAAAAAAAAAAAAAAAAAAAAAAAAUGGGGGGGGGGGGAUGUAAUUAUAUAAUCAUAUCACAUAUAAAUGCUUGUUCUGGAUCUGUUCUGUGAUUGUGUGCUUGCUCACUCCCAAGUGCAGGAGAUCGUAGCAAUAUAAUUCUCGGAGUACCGAGGUCGAACCACAAAGAGCAGGGUAAAUUCAAAGACAAUAUAAUUAAAUAACAAUUUGGGUGAAGAAGAAAAGUAAUUUUGCUUGGUGAUUGUUAACAAGAAUUAGAAUAAAAAUUGAUUUAAAUCAAUAAUGUAAAUACCAGGGCAUUGGGGUGUUUCCCUAUAUUGAUAUGAAAUUCUUUGUGAUUUAAGAAAUUAUAUAUUUCAUAAUUGAUUGUUCUUAUACAAUAAAAAACUUAUGAUUCAGUUGAAUUGAGACAAUUCAAGAACGCAUUAUAACCUCGAUUAAUAAUGUGGUUAGAAAAGUUUUCAGAAAAACCCAUUCACUUUAAAACCUGAUUUCUAUUUGAAACUAUUAGAAAUUCAUCUAAACAAUAAGAAAAGCAUGAUUGAACUUAUUGAAAGCAUGGAAUAACUAAUACAUCAAAAGAAAUCUAAUUGAACAAUCAAAUAUGUCGUUGAUAAAAUCUUAGAAAGAAUCACAUUAAAUAUUCAUACCGUAUAGAAGAAACAUAACCCCUAGCCCUAGUAAAGAGUUUAAGCUGCCAUUAGAGAAAGGAAAAUACAAGGAUUUCUCUCCCCAAAAUUCGUUCUCACAGCCUCCCCUCAAAACCCUCGUGUCUAAGCGUCCAAAGAAAAUAAAACUUAUAUUAUUUUAAUUUUCGUCCAGGUUUACAGCAGUAACUUGUGAGUUAAUUUCGGCUUUCAAAAAUUGAUAAUUUGGGAAAACUCAAAACUGAAAAGUUGUAGAUAUUUAAGUCACAGUUCCAACCCAUCGCGCCCAAAAUACUGAUUAGUGAUCAAAUCAGAUUUUUCCUUUUCAGAUUCUGCCUUUUUGAUUUCUUUCCUUAUUUGAAGUUUCUAAUCAUGUUAGAUGAUCCAAGCACUCCAGCUACACCUCCUUAGACAUUAGACAUGGUCCUUUAGCUCCACUUUAAUUCUAGUUUGGCUUUCAUUCUCUCACAAAUUCUUGUAAACUCAUCUUUCUCACAUAAUUUUCUAAAAGUAGAAAAUUACACACAAUGAAUAGCAUCUUAUUCAAGAAAUUAUGUAAAGAUAAAUAAUAGGAACUAAUACAAAUUAUGGCUUAAUUAUACAAAUUAAGCAUAGUAAUAAAGAAAUAACGCCCAUAUAAAUAUAUAACAAGUAUAUAUUUUAAGGCGUUAUCAUUGUGCCCUCUCAUUGAGUUGGUCCUAAGGAGUUACAGUUGCUAAUGAAGUUGCCUAGUACAUCCACAUGUGGGGACAUACACAUCUUAUAGGCAUAAUUGCUAGGUAAUUGAUACUUUGUCUACUUGAUAUAAUUGUGAUAUUUGUUUUUCAGAAUCCAUACUCUGUGAAUAUCCUUCUGGCUGGCUACGACAAGGAGACAGGCCCAUCUCUUUACCAUAUUGACUACAUCGCUACACUUCACAAACUUGACAAGGGAGCAUUUGGUUGUGGGUCCUAUUUUUCUCUCUCCAUGAUGGAUAGGCACUACCACAGUGGCAUGUUGGUUGAAGAAGCAAUUGAUCUGGUUGAUAAGUGCAUAUUGGAGAUUCGAUCCCGGUUGGUUGUGGCACCACCAAACUUUGUUAUCAAGAUUGUUGACAAGGAUGGAGCAAGGGAGUAUGCCUGGCGUGAAUCUGUCAAGGAUGGUGCAGUUUCUGCAGCCUGA